rfam:Bacteroidetes bacterium 38_7 MPI_scaffold_785, whole genome shotgun sequence.
AAAAAGUGGAGUCCAGAACCCACUCUAAAAAACGGGACGUAUUCCGAAAAGCUAUGAGAGUAGGAAUAAU